UAGCCUGAGAAAUAGCUACCACUUCUACGGAGGGCAGCAGGCGCGCAAAUUGCCCAAUGUCAAAAAAAAACGAUGAGGCAGCGAAAAGAAAUAGAGCCGGCAGUGCCAAUGGCAUUGCCGUUUUCAAUGGGGGAUAUCUAAACCCAUCCAAAAUCGAGUAUCAAUUGGAGGACAAGUCUGGUGCCAGCACCCGCGGUAAUUCCAGCUCCAAAAGCGUAUAUUAAUGCUGUUGCUGUUAAAGGGUUCGA
rnacentral:rRNA from 1 species